AACGAACGUUGGCGGCAUGGAUUAGGCAUGCAAGUCGGGGGAAUCCCGCAAGGGGGAACCGGCGUAAGGGGCAGUAAGGCGUGGGUACCUGCCCCGGGGUCCGGGAUAGCCGUCCGAGAGGGCGGGUAAUACCGGAUGACCUCGGGAGAGCAAAGGCUUGCCGCCCCGGGAGGGGCCCACGUGGUAUUAGGUCGUUGGCGGGGUAACGGCCCACCAAGCCUGAGAUGCCUAGCGGGUGUGAGAGCACGACCCGCGCCACUGGCACUGAGACACUGGCCAGACACCUACGGGUGGCUGCAGUCGAGGAUCUUCGGCAAUGGGCGCAAGCCUGACCGAGCGAUGCCGCGUGUGCGACGAAGGCCUUCGGGUUGUAAAGCACUGUCGAGGGGGAGAAAAGCCCGCAAGGGUGUGAUCCAUCCCUGGAGGAAGCUCGGGCUAAGUUCGUGCCAGCCGCCGCGG
rnacentral:rRNA from 1 species